UUAAGACGUCGGACCUUUGCAAAAAUCAAAAAUUCGUUACUCCAUAUACGAGCAUUUUGGCAAAGAGACCAAUGAAAUGAAGAGCGCAUUAAUCGAUCCGAUAUUCCUGAACUAUAAUUACUCGGGUAGUAAGGUUAAUUAGCCGCGGGUGUAGCAAGGUGCAUGUAUAUUUAAUAAGAUAAGAAUUGUGGCGCGCCGCUUGUUCCAGACGAUUGCUGAUGUCAUCUAUUCAAAUAUCUCCGUGUUACAAACAACUAAAUAUAUACUCUCAAAACAGUCAGAACAUUUUACCAAAAUCAUACUAAAUUUCUUCAAACCUUAUAAACUCCAGUAAUUUCUCUCUAUUUUAUCGCAAUUAAAAAAAAAAAAAAGAAGAAACAAAAGUACCCCAAAAGAAGAAGUCAAAGAGUCAAUAAUACUCAAUAACCAAAACAACAGAAAGAAAUCUUAAAAGACUCACCGUAGAUGUCAUCCAACUUCAAUCACCAAAUUCUUCUAAAGUAUGAUUUAUUUUAUUUUGAAAUAUUUUUCAGUCACUGUCAAAAA